AUUGAACGCUAGCGGGAUGCCUUACACAUGCAAGUCGAACGGCAGCGCGGACUUCGGUCUGGCGGCGAGUGGCGAACGGGUGAGUAAUGUAUCGGAACGUGCCCAGUAGCGGGGGAUAACUACUCGAAAGAGUAGCUAAUACCGCAUACGCCCUACGGGGGAAAGGGGGGGAUCGCAAGACCUCUCACUAUUGGAGCGGCCGAUAUCGGAUUAGCUAGUUGGUGAGGUAAAGGCUCACCAAGGCGACGAUCCGUAGCUGGUGUGAGAGGACGACCAGCCACACUGGGACUGAGACACGGCCCAGACUCCUACGGGAGGCAGCAGUGGGGAAUUUUGGACAAUGGGGGCAACCCUGAUCCAGCCAUUCCGCGUGUGGGAUGAAGGCCUUCGGGUUGUAAAGCACUUUUGGCAGGAAAGAAAUCGCACGGAUUAAUACUCUGUGUGGAUGACGGUACCUGCAGAAUAAGCACCGGCUAACUACGUGCCAGCCGCCGCCGUAA
rnacentral:rRNA from 1 species